rnacentral:rRNA from 1 species
AUUGAACGCUGGCGGCAUGCCUUACACAUGCAAGUCGAACGGCAGCACGGGAGCAAUCCUGGUGGCGAGUGGCGAACGGGUGAGUAAAGUAUCGGAACGUACCUUUCAGUGGGGGGAUAACGUAGCGAAAGUUACGCUAAUACCGCAUAUUCUGUGAGCAGGAAAGCAGGGGAUCGCAAGACCUUGCGCUGAUUGAGCGGCCGAUAUCAGAUUAGCUAGUUGGUGGGGUAAAGGCCUACCAAGGCGACGAUCUGUAGCGGGUCUGAGAGGAUGAUCCGCCACACUGGAACUGAGACACGGUCCAGACUCCUACGGGAGGCAGCAGUGGGGAAUUUUGGACAAUGGGGGGCAACCCUGAUCCAGCCAUGCCGCGUGAGUGAAGAAGGCCUCGGUUGUAAGUACGUCUUCUAGCCGGAACGAAACGACACGGUAAGUAACCUAGU